rnacentral:misc_RNA from 1 species
GAUGAAGAACGUAGCGAAAUGCGAUAAGUAAUGUGGAUUGCAGAAUUCAGUGAAUCAUCGAAUCUUUGAACGCAACUUGCGCUCUCUGGUAUUCCGGAGAGCAUGCCUGUUUGAGUAUCAUGAAAUCUCAACCAUUAGGGUUUCUUAAUGGCUUGGAAUUGGGUGUUGCCAGUCGCCUGGCUCGCCUUAAAAGAGUUAGCGUGUUUUACUUGUCUAUCUGGCGUAAUAAGUUUCGCUGGUGUCGGCUUGAGAAGUACGCUUCUAAUCGUCUUCGGACAAUUCUUGAACUCUGGUCUCAAAUCAGGUAGGGCUACCCGCUGAACUUAAGCAUAUCAUAAGCGGAGGA